rnacentral:rRNA from 1 species
UACGUAGGGUGCGAGCGUUGUCCGGAAUUAUUGGGCGUAAAGAGCUCGUAGGCGGUCUGUUGCGUCGGCUGUGAAAACCCGGGGCUCAACCCCGGGCCUGCAGCCGAUACGGGCAGACUAGAGUUCGGCAGGGGAGACUGGAAUUCCUGGUGUAGCGGUGAAAUGCGCAGAUAUCAGGAGGAACACCGGUGGCGAAGGCGGAUCUCUGGGCCUUACCUGACGCUGAGGCGCGAAAGCUAGGGGAGCGAACAGG